rnacentral:lncRNA from 1 species
AGCUUAUGACUUCACAAUGCCAAGUGCUGAAUUGGAUUCAUACCUUUAGUGGAUAAGGAAGAUGGUCAAAAAGGAGAGAAGGGCUGCAGUUGCAUUUCCAUUUCAGCUACCUGGGAGUCACAACAAAGGUAUUAGAAGACAGACAAACUGCUUUUGUCUUGAACUGCCUGAAGUGUACAAGGAAAUCAUUAAAGUAUAUACAGGUAACUUAGCCAGGAUUUUCAUGGGAUGCUGGACUCUGCUUAUGUGA